rnacentral:lncRNA from 1 species
GUUGCUUGACCUUCGGUGAGGGUCGUGCGACUCAAGCAAGGUUUGCAUGACCUUAGGCGACCCUCGGCAAGGGUCGUACGACCUAGGCAGCCAUCUAGGUCGCAAGAGACCCAAAUGAGGGCCGCUUGAGGUGGCGAGACCCAAGUGUUUUCUCUGCUACAUCUCCUUUUGCCUGCUUUGUUCCCACAAGGAAAUUAAAGAAACAUCAUCUCCAUUUGGUCAGUCUAUAAUAAGCAAGGUACGAAAAACUCCAUCAAAGAAAACAAUCAAGUUGUAGUGGACUGAUAACGAGUAGGGUUUUACAGUAUUACCGAGUCCUAAACAUCAGCUGCAGCGACUUGGAGGAGAAGAAGAGAGGCAACGAUGAGCGAGGAAGCAAUCACAAGCUUGGAGCUAGCCAUGGACGAAGGUGGCUCGAGGUGGAGAUGAUUAUAUAUUCAGUGUAUUUUAUACAAUAUGGU